rnacentral:lncRNA from 1 species
CUAGAUUCUGAUAUUAGUGUUUUUUCAACUAUACCACACUGUCUUCACACUGUCUUAGCACCUCCUUAUUUUAAAUUUAAAAAAACAAAACAAAACAAAAAAAAAAACAACCUUUUAAGACAACUCUUUUCCCUGUUUCCUACUCUAUAAAUGGUUGCCUCUUAGGUUAUUAUCACAGAUGACUGGUCAGAGCCAUGAGAUGAGCCCUGGCAAAGGAUGGAACUGAUUGAGGUGGGAAGGUUCAAUCCAGAAGCUGCUUUCUUUGCCUAAAGCUCUGGGCACAGCGUACAGGAUCACUCACCAACUAAGGCCUUUUGAGGCCAAUAGUUACUAGUACAGGGUUGUACUCUAUUCAGGGUUGAAAAUGUACUUAGGCUUCUGAUCACUGCAUGGGCUUCUGGAACAGUACUCUAACCCCAAAGGUAAAUUCUAAGGAAGACUUAGGGGUUCAUAUUGCAUUCCAGGGAUGCUGCGAAGCUCAGGCAAACAAUUGUAUGAAAAGUUGUUUUUAAAUUUUCCCGAGUCAUCUCACCCUAAAGUACUCUCUCCUGAUGUGGAAUUUCUAUAGCAAUUAUGGUUUAUGUUGAUUCAUUUGGCAACUAACUCAGAGCUACCUUGGAACAGCUCUACUAUUGUUCUGGAUUAUCACUAAUAGAUUUUAUUAUUAACUUUUCAGGUGGUUAUCUUUCAUCUCACCAACUAGACUAGAAAUACCUUGAGGGCAACUCCUGUGUCUGCACAAAUACACAACCUAUAAAUAAAUACAGUGAGAAUCUGUGAUUUCCUCAAUCUGAGGACUCUCAGAUUGCAUUCCAUCUAUAUUUCAGGAAAUAAGUCAUUUACAGUUACCUGAGCCAUAAAGAUUGUGACUUGUCAAUGAUGGAAUCUGAACAAUGUUCCUGCCUCUGGAGCCAACAAUCUGUUGACCAUGGAAUGCUGCUUCUCCUGCACAUGGUACAGGUUCAAGAAAUACUUGAUAUGAAAUGAAAAACAUAAGUGCCAGUUUUCCUAUAAUAACUACUGGUUUGUCAUUUCUCUAAAAAUUAUUAUACUCUACCAUCCAUUGUCUUGCUCCACAUGGCAUUUGGCUAUCCACAUCAGCCAUCUCCUUAUUGUCCAUCCCACUGGCACAUCCAUUACUAAUUCCUAUCAUCCUCCAACUUUCAACCAUUUUUACUUUUGGAACAUUAAUCAAAUCAAUACUAUCAUUACUUCUGAAAAGGGGAUUUCAAAUGGAUUCCGGUGUAAUUCCACUCCCCAUCUCUAUACUGUGCCAAACCAAAGCACUCUUCCUAGGACAGCACUCCCUUGUAUGUACUGCCUGCCCCAGCUGGAAUGUAAGCUCCUCAAGGACAGGUACUGUCUUGGUUUUGUACUUGGAUCCCCAGUUUCUAGCACAGUGACUGGCACAUGAACAUGGGCUUAAUAAAUGCUUCCCAUUUAUGCCUUCGAAUUCUAAACCUAUCUUGCAUAGUCACACCUUCUUCUAGACCUUUGUCAUUUCCCAUGUUUCCUUCCUCACUCUUUUCCUCCUCUUAUCUAUCCUUUAAGUUCCAGUUCCAUAAGGGUUCCUCAAUUCACAGUGAACAUUGCUGAACUCUGACUCACUAAACAAUCAACCAACCAACAAACCUUUAAAUGCCUACCACAUUCCAGGCACUGGACUAGGCACUGGGGAAACAAAUAUAAAGAGUUAAUCACUACAAAAGUAUACAACACCUAAUAGUGUAUAAGGAUUGUAUGAUAUUAUUCAUUGGCGCUUGUCACUUACUACUGUUGAUUGCUAGUGAUUUCAUUCCAGCUAGAAUAAGAUUUUGAAGGCAGAAACACGGUUUUCCCCAAGGCUGGGAAAAA